rnacentral:rRNA from 1 species
AGUGAACGCUGGCGGCAGGCCUAACACAUGCAAGUCGAGCGGCAGCGCGUCCGACCACCCUCGGGUGGUCGGAUGGCGGCGAGCGGCGGACGGGUGAGGAAUGCAUCGGAAUCUGCCUCGUUGUGGGGGAUAACGUAGGGAAACUUACGCUAAUACCGCAUACGACCUACGGGUGAAAGUGGGGGACCUUCGGGCCUCACGCGAUGAGAUGAGCCGAUGCCGGAUUAGCUAGUUGGCGGGGGUAAAGGGCCCACCAAGGCGACGAUCCGUAGCUGGUCUGAGAGGAUGAUCAGCCACACUGGGACUGAGACACGGCCCAGACUCCUACGGGAGGCAGCAGUGGGGAAUAUUGGACAAUGGGCGCAAGCCUGAUCCAGCAAUGCCGCGUGUGUGAAGAAGGCCUGCGGGUUGUAAAGCACUUUCAGUGGGGAAGAACAGAUUCGGGUCAAUA